AAUGGAUUCAAGUGACUCAACAAACAUUCUAGAUCGGUCCACAGAAGGAAGUGGCAGCCCAGGCUCAGACUGUAAAGAAAGUGAGUUAGAAGUUAACAAGUCUGCAGAUGUUGACAGUCCAGACACCAGUCAAGCAACCUUGGCCAAGCACUACAAGGCCCUACAAACUUUGUAUAAAAGAAAAAAUCCAAACCACACUGAUGUUUCUCAUCUCUUGGAUUUAGAAUUUGUAGCCAGAAGAGCAUUCAUUGAUUCAAAUACCGUUCGCGAGGAGGACAGACAUGAGAAGGUUCUAGAAGCAUAUCCUUGUUUCAAGGACAUUGUACAC
ensembl:lncRNA